rnacentral:rRNA from 1 species
UACGUAGGGUCCGAGCGUUGUCCGGAAUUAUUGGGCGUAAAGGGCUCGUAGGCGGUUCGUCACGUCGGGAGUGAAAACUCGGGGCUUAACCCCGAGCGGUCGUGAGAAACUGGCGGGCUAGAGUGCGGGAGAGGAGAGUGGAAUUCCUGGUGUAGCGGUGAAAUGCGCAGAUAUCAGGAAGAACACCCGUGGCGAAGGCGGCUCUCUGGAACGCAACUGACGCUGAGACGCGAAAGCGUGGGGAGCGAACAGG